UAGUAGUACCAUAAAGUUAAUAUACCUAGCGGAAUAGAGAAACAAAGGCAUGCGAGCAAGCGAGAUGUUACUAUUAGUAAUACUGCGUAUUAAAAAGAGACGUGUGAUACAUGAAACCAGAACUCUUUUUUGACGUCCAGUCGGCAUUUAUCGGCACGUUGACAAUUAAUCUCAUGGAAAG